AUCGAUUUAAUUAAUUUGAGAUACGUUGGGGCUGAUUAAAUAUUUACGGAGCCGACGUAUUUAUGCAUAUCGAAUGUCGAGUGAGUGCCGGCCCCUUUGAGGGAUCCUGCGGAUCCUGUUGUGCGCUGUAUCGCCUGACAGCCAUUAGGAAUAUUGAUUUCCAUAUCGCCACAUUAACCAGCGUCAGACGGCAACAAAAAGCCGCAUUCCCGAGCUGCAAAAAAAUGAGAGUACGCACAAGCACACUGACAAGCAGGAUAGCAACGCACAUACACACACAUCUAAAUGCGCUGACGUAAUGUGAAAAUUAUGCGUUGUAAUUUGCGCCAUCAGAAGGAAACGGAAAGGCGGAAGACGACGCACUCAAACAAACAGUGGCGGCGGAUGGCGGUGGGUAGUGGGAAUGUGACAAGGACAGGGCGUCGGGGAAAAGAAAGAAAAACAAACGCAGAAAAAACACGCAGGAUAUUCGGAAGAAGAAGCAGAUAUAGGCGGGCAAGCAGACACAUUUACAUAUGCAUAGCUGUGAGUAUAUGCAGAUGUGGACAUGAAAAAUUGGUACACUUUAGCAGUCAAAGCUGAUUCCCAGUUCCUAUCUCCCGGCCCCAAAAAUGUCCCUGUUGCUGUUGCCCUUGUUGUUUUUCGACACUUUUUCACCAUCAUCCUCUUCAUCUC
ensembl:ncRNA lncRNA:CR46131 long non-coding RNA:CR46131